UGAGUACACCCUUCACAUUUUUGUAAAUAUUUUAGUAUAUCUUUUCAUGUGACAACACUGAAGAAAUGACAUUCUGCUACAAUGUAAAGUAGUAAGUGUACAGCCUGUAUAACAGUGUAAAUUUGCUGUCCCCUCAAAAUAACUCAACACACAGUCAUUAAUGUUAGCAACAAAAGUGAGUACUCCCCUAAGUGGAAAUGUCCAAAUUGGGCCCAAACUGUCAAUAUUUUGUGUGGCCAAUUUGAUGCAGUGUGCGGCGUAUGAUCUGAGCACUGACAGACUGACCCCCCCGCCACCCAUUCAACCUCUGCAGCAAUGUUGGCAGCACUCAUAUGUCUAUUUCCCAAAGACAACCACUGGAUAUGACGCUGAGCAUAUGGCACUCAACUUCUUUGGUCAACCAUGGCGAGGCCUAUUCUGAGUGGAACCUGGCCUGUGACACCGCUGUAUGGUUUUGCCCACCGUCCUGCAGCUCAGUUUCAGGGUCUUGGCAAUCUUCUUAUAUCCUAGGCCAUCUUUAUGUCGAGCAACAAUUAUUUUUUUCAGAUCCUCAGAGACUUCUUUGCCAUGAGGUGCCAUGUUGAACUUCCAGUGACCUGCAUGAGAGUGUGAGAGAAAUAACACCA